rnacentral:misc_RNA from 1 species
UUCAUAGCCAAUUUCCUCCUCUCACUUUCUUCUUCUUCGUCUUCAUACUCGACUUGAGGGAUUUUUCUCUUUUUCCUCUCUUCUUUUUCGAUUCGAUCUGGUCUUAGCUUCUUCAAUUGGUGAUGAGGACUUGACACAUCGGAAUCGCCACGCUUUGACCUCCUGAUCGAGAUUCUAUUAGACGGCUGUGAACCUAGCAUCGGUGAUGCUAAAGAUAUAAAGGGAAUCAAAAGGGUUCUCAUAAAGUGGAAAAAUGUUGGAGGGUGGUCAAAAAUUCACUGGAAUGAUCGAUUUAAACGAGCAUGCAUAUGAUCUAUCGCAAGGGUUUUACCAUAAACUUGGUGAGGGAACCAACAUGUCUAUUGACAGCUUUGCAAGCUUGCAAACGAGCAAUGAUGGAGGGUCAGUUGCCAUGUCUUUAGAUAACAGCAGUGUAGGAUCAAAUGAGUCUCAUACUCGGAUCUUAAAUCACCAAGGCUUGCGACGGCGUGCAAAUGACAACCAUACUUUUCAACAUAGUGUUAACCGCCGCGGAAGAGUUACACAUCACCUGAGUGAUGAUGCACUAGCCCGAGCUUUAUUUGAUAGUAAUACACCCACCCAGGGUCUUGAAAAUUUUGAGAAGUGGACACUUGAUUUAAGGAAGCUUAAUAUGGGGGAGGCUUUUGCUCAAGGUGCCUUUGGGAAACUCUACAGAGGUACUUAUGAUGGUGAAGAUGUUGCUAUCAAGAUCUUGGAGAGGCCAGAGAAUGACCUGGAAAAGGCUCAGUUAAUGGAGCAGCAAUAUCAGCAGGAGGUGAUGAUGCUUGCUACACUGAAGCACCCAAAUAUUGUCCGGUUUAUUGGAUCAUGCCAUAAGCCGAUGGUUUGGUGCAUUGUUACUGAGUAUGCGAAGGGCGGUUCAGUUAGGCAGUUCUUGAUGAAGCGACAAAGUCGUUCUGUCCCACUGAAAUUAGCUGUCAAACAAGCUUUGGAUGUUGCCAGGGGGAUGGAAUAUGUUCAUGGCCUUGGGUUGAUUCAUAGGGACUUGAAAUCGGACAACCUUUUGAUUUUUGCAGACAAGUCUAUCAAAGUUGCUGACUUUGGAGUGGCCCGGAUUGAGGUGCAGACAGAAGGAAUG